rnacentral:rRNA from 1 species
CCUACGGGUGGCAGCAGUGAGGAAUAUUGGUCAAUGGACGCAAGCCUGAACCAGCCAUGUCGCGUGAGGGAUGAAGGUUCUAUGGGUCGUAAACCGCUUUUGUACGGGAGUAAACGUAGGUACGUGUCCCUUUCUGUAUGUAUCUUACGAAUAAGGAUCGGCUAACUCCGUGCCAGCAGCCGCGGUAAUACGGAGGAUUCAAGCGUUAUCCGGAUUUAUUGGGUUUAAAGGGUGCGUAGGCGGUCUUAUAAGUUAGAGGUGAAAGCCUGAGGCUCAACCACGGAAUUGCCUUUGAUACUGGGCGGCGAGAGAGUGUUUGCGGUAGGCGGAAUGUAUGGUGUAGCGGUGAAAUGCUUAGAGAUCACGCAGAACACCGAUUGCGAAGGCAGCUUACCAAGCUACGACUGACGUUGAGGCACGAAAGCGUGGGGAUCAAACAGGAUUAGAUACCCGGGUAGUC